UUGUGGAGGAGGACGCCGAAGGUGGGGCUAAUGACUGGGGUGAAGUCGUAACAAGGUAGCCGUACCGGAAGGUGCGGCUGGAUCACCUCCUAACAGGGAGACAACAAAAUGUUUAUAUUAUUAUUUUGUCACCUUAGGUCGAUCGGUAUCUCACAUUCUUAAUCAAUUAAGAAUUUCAUUUCCUAAGUUUUUCUAGGUCACACCCAUUAUUUUUCCUGGGCCAUUAGCUCAGGUGGUUAGAGCGCACCCCUGAUAAGGGUGAGGUCCCUGGUUCAAGUCCAGGAUGGCCCAUAUCUCUAUGUUGGGGGUAUAGCUCAGUUGGUAGAGCGCCUGCUUUGCAAGCAGGAUGUCAGCGGUUCGAGUCCGCUUACCUCCACUGAUUACCACCUCUUCCAUAAUCUGUAGAAAGGAAAUUUUUUGAGUUGUGAUCAAAUUCUGAACGAAUCUAGCUUCCUAAUGAAAGUAUUAAGAUGCUGGACUCAUUGAAUUAAUUUCAUUGUUUUCAGAGAACCUUGACAACUGCAUAGAUUAUUUUUAAAGACAAUAAGCAUCUUUAAUGAUGCAGAUUUAUUAUUUGUGCGAAUGCAUUAAUAACAAUUCUAUUAAGCUGAUGCUUCAAUUUUGAAGUUAUUGGUCAAGCUACAA
rnacentral:misc_RNA from 1 species